rnacentral:misc_RNA from 1 species
ACGUAUCUCUGACGGGGUGCAGCUCGCCCUGCUCCGAUCCAAAACGGGUCGUGCAGCGGGCGGCCGUCCCUGUUCAAACCUCACAAACCCACUGUGAACCUUCACGGCAGAGGGGGCCUGGCUAGCGCCACGUUCCCGAUGCCGCAUACCAAACACCAGUUGCAACGAAUGUACUGCGGACCUUGUGCCGCCUAAACACAUAA